UACGUAGGGCGCAAGCAUUGUCCGGAAUUAUUGGGCGUAAAGAGCUCGUAGGCGGCCUGUUGCGUCCGCUGUGAAAUCCCAGGGCUCAACCCGUGGCGUGCAGUGGAUACGGGCAGGCUGGAGGCAGGCAGGGGAGAACGGAAUUCCCGGUGGUAGCGGUGAAAGUGCGCAGAUAUCGGGAGGAACGACCGGGUGGCGAAGGCGGUUCUCUGGGCCUGUACUGACGCUGAGGAGCGAAAGCGUGGGGAGCGAACAGGAUUAGAUACC
rnacentral:rRNA from 1 species